ACCCACAAACCAGAAGAAGACACUUUUGGGGUCCCGUGGCUGUCAUCAGUGGUGAGGAGGACUCAGCCAGCCCACUGCACCACAUCAACCACGGCAUCACCACGCCCUCGUCACUGGAUGCCGGGCCCGACACUGUGGUCAUUGGCAUGACUCGCAUCCCUGUCAUUGAGAACCCCCAGUACUUCCGUCAGGGACACAACUGCCACAAGCCGGACACGUGUUUCAGAGAAAUUAUGUUGAAUCCAAUAAGCCUUCCCGGACAUUCCAAGCCUCUUAACCAUGGCAUCUAUGUUGAGGAUGUCAAUGUUUAUUUCAGCAAAGGACGUCAUGGCUUUUAAAAACUCCUUUUAAGCCUCCUUGUUUUGAUGUCACCUUGGUAGGCUGGGCCCUCUGAGAGGUUGGAAGCUCUAGGCAUUGUUCUCUUUGGAUCCAGGGAUGCUAAGUAGAAACUGCAUGAGCCACCAGUGCCCCGGCACCCUUUAACACCACCAGAUGGGUGUUUUCCCCCAUCCACCACUGGCAGGGUUGCCCCUUCCCUCCAAUCAUCACUGUGCUCCUUUUUUCCCGGCCUACGAGGCAGCUCCUGCCACUAUCUUUAGAGCCAAUAAAGAGAAUUAAAAACCUGUGCA
rnacentral:lncRNA from 1 species